rnacentral:tRNA from 1 species
GGCCCAAUGGUCCAGAGGUACGAUUGUCGCUUCGGGAAUUUGAUCCCGUGAGGUUUUCUCAUAAUGUGACCGACCCCGGUUCGAGUCCGGGUUGGGCCC